UUUUAGAAAACCUUAGCAAGUUUAAAUUCGUUCUAUUUAUUAUCUUUACUUAUGUCGUGAAAUCAAUAUUUAGGUUAUUACUUUAAACAUUUCUUUAUUGCGGAAGUUAUGACAUCAUUCAUUUAUACGAAAACCUUAAGUUAAGUUUCCAGAACGUAUUUGUGGUGUCGUCGUUUAUAAAUCAAUAGAAUUAAACAACUUAAAAUCCCGAAUUAAACCCAAAAUAGUUUGAGCCUGAAUAUAUAAAUAAUCCCGAAAAUAAAUAUUAAAUGAAUGCAAAUAAAAUAGAAUGUAACUCAUAAAC
rnacentral:lncRNA from 1 species